UGAGUCAAUGCCUGUCUGAUGACCGUACCGCAGGAACAACCCCCGGCCAAUUACGUGCCCCAGCCGCGGUAAGGUUAUGGGGCGAGCGUUGUUCCGAAUCAUUGGGGGUAAAGGGGGCGCAAGCGGCUGUGUAAGUCUGGUGUGAAAGACCGCACCUCAACUGCGGGCACCCGCUGGAGACUAUGUGGCUUGAGUUCGGGAGGGGAAGCUGGGAUUCCAGGGGGAAGGGUGAAAUCUGUAAAUAUCAGGACUAACGCCGACGCCGAAGGCGAGCUUCUGGCCGUGAACUGACACUGAGGCGCGAAAGCGUGGGGAGCGAACAGGAUUACAUACCCUGGUCCCCACGCUGUAAACGAUGUGCACUAGGUGUUGGACCGCUGAAGGCUCC
rnacentral:rRNA from 1 species